GACGAACGCUGGCGGCGUGCUUAACACAUGCAAGUCGAACGGAAAGGCCCUGCUUUUGUGGGGUGCUCGAGUGGCGAACGGGUGAGUAACACGUGAGUAACCUGCCCUUGACUUUGGGAUAACUUCAGGAAACUGGGGCUAAUACCGGAUAGGAGCUCCUGCUGCAUGGUGGGGGUUGGAAAGUUUCGGCGGUUGGGGAUGGACUCGCGGCUUAUCAGCUUGUUGGUGGGGUAGUGGCUUACCAAGGCUUUGACGGGUAGCCGGCCUGAGAGGGUGACCGGCCACAUUGGGACUGAGAUUCGGCCCAGACUUCUACGGGAGGCAGCAGUGGGGAAUAUUGCCCAAUGGGCGGAAGCCUGAUGCAGCAACGCCGCGUGCGGGAUGACGGCCUUCGGGUUGUAAACCGCUUUCGCCUGUGACGAAGCGUGAGUGACGGUAAUGGGUAAAGAAGCACCGGCUAACUACGUG
rnacentral:rRNA from 1 species